rnacentral:rRNA from 1 species
UACGGAGGGGACUAGCGUUGUUCGGAAUUACUGGGCGUAAAGCGCACGUAGGCGGUUUGUUAAGUCGGAUGUGAAAUCCCUCGGCUCAACUGAGGAAGUGCAUCCGAAACUGGCAAGCUUGAGUACGAAAGAGGGUCGCGGAAUUCCCGGUGUAGAGGUGAAAUUCGUAGAUAUCGGGAGGAACACCGGUGGCGAAGGCGGCGACCUGGGUCGAUACUGACGCUGAGGUGCGAAAGCGUGGGGAGCAAACAGG